UUUUGAUUGAACAGAUUCUAUGUGGACGGAACGCCGAUUAGAGAAUACAAGAACAGUGAAUCGAUGGGAGUUUCAUAUCCGAAGAACCAAGCAAUGAGGAUAUACUCGAGUCUUUGGAAUGCAGAUGAUUGGGCUACAAGAGGAGGACUUGUCAAGACUGAUUGGAGCCAAGCACCCUUUAGUGCUUCUUACAGAAACUUCAGUGCUAAUGCAUGUAUUCCCAGUUCUUCAUCUUCUUGCAGUUCCAAUACUACAACUUCAACAAGCAAUUCAUGGUUGAAUGAAGAGUUAGAUAACACAAGUCAAGAGAGGCUCAAAUGGGUGCAGAAGAAUUACAUGGUUUAUAAUUACUGCACUGAUUCUAAACGAUUUUCACAAGGAUUUCCAGCAGAUUGUGUUCAGAACAGCUAAGCAUUUACAGUGAAAAAUAGUGUAUUCUUUUAUUUAUUGUACUGAUUCUUUUAUUGUUCUGCAUCAACCAGAAGAUGCAUUAAUUAUUGAGGAUUAGAAACAUCUUAUUAUUGUAUUGACAAUGAAAUAGAUAUAUUCUUUUAUAGCUUAGUGUUUUGGAUAUGAAAAAUUAUGCUACUACAGCUCUUUUGCAAAGUACAAAAGAGGUGAAUUGGCAUCAUUUUUAAAAUUCCUAUCUAAAUUGAUGAGAAGGCGGGAGAAAAGUCAAAUUAUUUAACUUAAUUAUGUAAUAAUAUUUGUUUAAUCAAAUAAUCCAUUUCUAAUUACCCUAUAAUUGAUUAUGACAAAUAAAAAAAUCGUUAUAAUUACUAAAUUAUAUACUCCCUCCGUCCCAUUUUAUGUGAGGUUGUUUGACUCGACACAAAGUUUAAGAAAGAAAGGAAGACUUUUAAAACUUGUGAUUUAAAAUGAAUGAUAUAAAUUUGUGUGACGGUAAAUCAUUUCAUUAAGGGCAAAAUAGAAAUUUUAUAGUUAAAUUGAUAGUACUUAAUAUAUAAAUAUGUCAUUCUUUUUGGGAUUGACUAAAAUAUAAGUAAGUCAAAUAAAUUGGGAUAGAGGGAGUAAUUAUAUAAACAUCGAAUGAAUUAAAUGCACUUUGGAAAGUGCACAUGAUAAACAGUGAAAAGCCCAAUCGAAAAUGGUAAGAAACUGACCCAAUCUAAUUUCCUCCGUCACAAAAUAUUGUAUAUCAUUUAGAGCAACUUUCACAUAUAGCAAAUAAAAAAAUCAUAUUUGUAUGCUAUAGCAAAAUUUGCAUAAUUGCGUUCCAUAACAAACAUAUAUAUGUAUAAUUCGCUAUACAUAUACAAUUGAAAGCUGUCUAUUUCGCUAUACAUAUAUACAAAAAGAAGCAAUUGUAUAAUUCGUUGGCUCCUCUUCAGAAUUGUAUAAUUUCGUUGGCAGGCCAUUUGUAUAAAUUGUUGUUUAAGCCUUCUCGUUUGUAUAAAUUCGUUGACAAAAAUAUUUGUAUAUCAAAAAUCGCUCUCUUUCGCUUUAUACAAACAUAAAUUAUACAUUAUACAAACAUAAAACUGGGCAGGGGAAUGUUUUUAUUGUAUAAUUAUAAGUGUAUAGGAUGAAUAUACAUGUAUUUGCAUGUGUAUAUAUAAUUUUCUCGCGCUUUAUACAAAUAGAAACACAAUUUAUACAAUUCUGUUGUAUAAAACGAGAAAGAGAGAAAGGCAAAAGAGAACUGGGCAGAGAAAUAUUUUUAUUAUAUAAUUAUAAGUGUAUAAGACGAAUAUAUAUGUAUUUGCAUGUAUAUAUACAAUUUUCUCUCACUUUAUAUAAACAGAAACGCAAUUUAUACACUUCUGUUGUAUAAAGCGAGAGAGGCGAGCACAGAGGGAGUGAGCGAGAGAGGAGAGUGGCGAGCGAGAGUUUGAGGGAGAGAGGCGCUGACAAACAGUUUGCUACAUGACACAAUUAAAUCAAAAUGUGAUUAUACCAUUUAAUUUGAAUUAAUAGUUAGCCAUUAUGUACAAUUUUCCCUAUCAUUUAUAUGCCUUAAUCAACAAAUAUCAUAUAUUUAGUAAAAUAUCAAAUGAUUCACUCUUAAUUUUAAAUAGAGAUAUGACACAAGCAUUCUUAGACUAUGAUCGAAAUUUCGGAGAGACACAUAAACUUAACUAAGGUUCUAUCACCCCGAACUCAUUUUUUGAUAUUUUUGUGCACCUUUUAUGCUGACGUGACACCUUCAACCACCCAAGUUGACUGUGUUUGUACACAUGUGUCUGCCAUGUUUGUAAAUGUUUUCUAAAAUUUUUAAAUUUGUUUUUUUUUAAAAUAUUUUUAUUUUUUUUAUCAUAUAUUUAAAUUAAGUUAAUAUAUAUUUUCUUACCUUGUAUCUAAACUUUUUUUUUAAAACUUCAUUCAUUGUUUUUUUUCUUUUAUUUACUCUUUUUAUUUUCUUUGUCUUUCCUUUUGAUUUGAUUUCAAACAUCUUGUAUUUAAGAUAAGUUAAUUUCGAAGGGAUAGCAAAAUAAGUGAAGAAAUCAAAUUAAACAUUAAAAAAAUUAAAACGUUAAAAUUAAAGGAUGCUUUUUUUAAAAAAAAAAAUAAGUAUAAUUUUUAAAAAUAAUUAAAAGUGAAAAGAUAAGAAAUUAAUGAAAGAAAAAAUAUAAAAAGUUUAAAGUGAGAAACAAAAUAAAAUAAAUAUUUUACAAAGAAAGAAAUGUAAAUAAUUAAAUAUAUAUAAGUUUUAAUAUCAAUAAAUAAGUGUACUAACUAAUUAUAAAGUUACCACUUAAAAAAUUACAUGUGUUUAAUUUUGUUCACUCAUCACUUGCCUUAUAAUGUAUUUAUUUCAUUUUAAAUUAGUUUAGAAGGUAAUAGAACCCUUGUUAAGUUUAUACGUAUCUUUGAGAUUUCAGUCAUAAGAAAAAAGAAGAAGUCAUAUUCUAAGGAUACUUGUAAUUUUUAAAUACCUCGAUUUCUUUUAAAUCCAUCAGGUGAUACCAUUUCUAAUCUGACCAAAAAAAGAUACCAUUUCUAAUAUUCUGGACACCAUAUAGUGCACGAAACUUGUAUUUUCUUCUUGGUGUUUGAGCCUGGAGAAUCAUGGUUAAUAAAUAUUAAAUGAACGAAAAUCAAAUGCACAUUGGAAAGUAUACAUGAUAAAGAAAUGAAAUUAAAAAGGCCAAUCGAGGAGCAAAAGUUACACGAAUGUAGUAGAACUGUGGGAUUAUAUGCACAUCUUGAAUUGAAAUUUGUAAAAAGCCAGCUGGUUGGUCCACAGAUAAUAUAGCCACGCUAUAUAAUCCCCUGCUAGACAAAUAUUUUAAGGGGUGACUAAACCCAACUAGUAGAAAUAAUACAAUGUAGGUACACUUGAAUAAACAAAGGGAAACAAUACACAAGUUGAAGUAGUUCGAAUGAUCAACGAGAGUUGUAGUGUAGUGAUAAAUACUUCUUCAUUCUUAAUUAGAAGUUUUAGAUUCGAGUCUCCGGGGUAUAGAGUCGCCUUUGUUAGAGAGCCUAUUCGAUUUGAGAUUUUCCAAUGCGAAUUUAGAUUUAGUCGGACUCCAGUUCCAAUGAAAAUGAUAGUGUGAGGGUUGGAAAGACUCACCAUAUAUGUAUGGGCUGUCACUUAGCUUUGAUGCCAUCAUUUUUAAUCCUGUUUCCAGCUCAAUAUAUGCUCAAAUCUUUUUUUCCUGCUUUCGGUUUUACUUUGAACCUUCCUCUUUAUUUCCUUAAGCAUAACCCCACACGCUCUAGCUACUUCUUUGUUGCUGAAGUGGGGUGGUAUAAACCCUUAUAAAACCUCACUCCAACUCUAAUUCAUCCAACAAAUUAAAGUUUGAAAUCUUUAGAACUAAACAUGGCUUUUUCUUCUUCUAAGUUAAUACUACUUUUGAUGUGUUUUAUGAUCAGUGCUUUUGGCAUUGCAAUUGCAGCCAAGUUCGAUCAAGAAUUCGACGUCACAUGGGGUGAUGGCAGAGCAAAAAUACUCAACAAUGGCGACCUCCUUACUCUCUCACUUGACAAAAUCUCUGGCUCUGGUUUUCAAUCCAAGAAUGAAUAUCUCUUUGGUAAAAUUGACAUGCAGCUCAAACUUGUCGCUGGAAAUUCUGCGGGCACCGUCACUGCCUACUAUGUAAUUCCCUUAUUUUCUUUUUUCUUAAAUGAUUUUUGAGUUUAUUGAGUUGAAAUGGAAUUGAACUUCUUUUUUGAAAAUUUAUUGCAGUUGUCAUCACAAGGACCAACACAUGAUGAGAUAGAUUUUGAAUUCUUGGGAAAUCUAAGUGGUGAUCCUUAUACUCUCCACACUAAUGUAUUUAGCCAAGGCAAAGGAAACAGAGAGCAGCAAUUCCAUCUUUGGUUUGACCCUACUGCUGAUUUCCACACAUAUUCAAUCACUUGGAAUCCACUACGCAUCAUGUAAGUAAUUAAAGAUUCGAUCUUUCUUCAAAAAUAUGUGACUUUUUAAAUCAAAUCUUGAUUUGGGGUUAUCUUAUUUUUGGUUUAACAGAUUUUAUGUGGACGGAACGCCCAUUAGAGAAUACAAGAAUAGCGAAUCAAUGGGAGUUUCAUAUCCGAAGAACCAAGCAAUGAGGAUUUACUCGAGUCUUUGGAAUGCAGAUGAUUGGGCUACAAGAGGAGGACUUGUCAAGACUGAUUGGAGCCAAGCACCCUUUAGUGCUUCUUACAGAACUUCAAAUCUAACACAUUCUUUUGGGAUAAACCUUGAUUUGGGGUUCUCUUAUUUUUUGAUUGAACAGAUUCUAUGUGGACGGAAUGCCCAUUAGAGAAUACAAGAAUAGUGAAUCAAUGGGAGUUUCAUAUCCGAAGAACCAACCAAUGAGGAUAUAUUCAAGUCUUUGGAAUGCAGAUGAUUGGGCUACAAGAGGAGGACUUGUCAAGACUGAUUGGAGCCAAGCACCCUUUAGUGCUUCUUACAGAAACUUCAGUUCUAAUGCUUGUAUUCCCAGUUCUUCAUCUUCUUGCAGUUCCAAUACUACAACUUCAACAAGCAAUUCAUGGUUGAAU
rnacentral:lncRNA from 1 species